rnacentral:rRNA from 1 species
CUGGCGGCGUGCUUACACAUGCAAGUCGAACGAGAAACGGAUUAAGCUUGCUUAAUUGCAGUCUAAGUGGCGCACGGGUGAGUAAUGUAUAGGUAAUGUGCCUUCAAGAGAGGGAUAACAGUUGGAAACGACUGCUAAUACCCCAUAUGCCUUUAAUUCAAAAGAAUGCAAGGGAAAUAUUUAUAGCUUGAAGAUCGGCCUGUAUAGUAUCAGUUAGUUGGUGAGGUAAUGGCUCACCAAGACAAUGACGCUUAACUGGUUUGAGAGGAUGAUCAGUCACACUGGAACUGAGACACGGUCCAGACUCCUACGGGAGGCAGCAGUGGGGAAUAUUGCACAAUGGACGAAAGUCUGAUGCGGCAACGCCGCGUGGAGGAUGACACAUUUCGGUGCGUAAACUCCUUUUAUAUAGGAAGAUAAUGACGGUACUAUAUGAAUAAGCGCCGGCUAACUCCGUGCCAGCAGCCGCGGUAAUACGGAGGGCGCAAGCGUUACUCGGAAUCACUGGGCGUAAAGAGCGUGUAGGCGGAUAGA